CCCAGGCCAUGGCAGCUAUGGAGGAGACAGAGGAUCUAGCGUCUGGUUAAUAUUGCUUGUGAACUUCGGCCCUGGGCUCUGAGAACAGAAGUGGAGGCUCUGACACGGGACAUGCCACAGGAGAUUUAUAUGUAUGAAUAUUUGUCUGCAAUUAUUGUGCACCAGGUGCAUGCCUAGUGCCCAAGGAAGCCAGAAGAGAGUAUUGGAGCCCUAGAACUGGAGUUACAGAUGGCUGUGAACCACCAUGUGGGUGCUGGGCGUGGAACCCAGGUCCUCUGCAAAAACAGUAAGUGCUUUUAACUGCUGUUAAUCUCCCCAGCCCCAGCCCUCCCUUUUUGUUUUAUGUCAUUGGCUGCUUCUUCUUCUUCUUCUUCUUCUUCUUCUUCUUCUUCUUCUUC
rnacentral:lncRNA from 1 species